UACGUAGGCAGCAAGCGUUGUUCGGAAUUACUGGGCGUAAAGCGAGUGUAGGCGGUUUGCCAAGUCCGUUGUGAAAUCUCCCGGCUCAACUGGGAGGGUGCGCCGGAAACUGGCAGGCUAGGGUGCGGUAUGGGAGAGUGGAAUUCCUGGUGUAGCGGUGAAAUGCGUAGAUAUCAGGAGGAACACCGGUGGUGUAGACGGCUCUCUGGACCGGUACUGACGCUGAGGCGCGAAAGCGUGGGUAGCAAACGGG
rnacentral:rRNA from 1 species